rnacentral:lncRNA from 1 species
UAUAUAACUAUAUAUAAGAAAUCACAUAGCCAUUGUAAUUAUAUAUAUAUAUAUGGGUAGUUAGCAAUGAAGGAAGAAGUAGUAGAAAUUACAAGGAGUUCAGCACCAUGUCUUGGUAGGUGCUGCGCGGCUCUGACCGCACAAUGUGUGGAGGUAUAUUCGCUCCCAGUUGUAGACGUUGCCACACGCAGAACACCUGCUCACUGUGGGAUCGCGCGCUGGGAGGGGCAAGGCCAAAGGGAAGACCGCAGAGCCCCGCGCUGCAGAAGGCGCCGCAGCCGAAAGCCAGGGGAGCAAGCUCACUUCCAGAACCACUCUGCAGUCGCAUAAAUCCAACCCGAGAAUGGAACCCUCCUGCCCUAAUCACCUGCCACUGGGCCCCACCUUGCAAGUCUGAGCGUGCGGACCAACACUGCCAGCACACGUGGACAACUGAGUCGCAGCUAUGACAGUACUUCGAGGAAGAUUUGGUUGGUCUGGUGGAUGUGAAGACCAACAGGAAGCCAGCCACGUAUUGAUGGCUUGCCCCACCGUGCUCCUCUGAGAGAUGUCUACAGGAUGCAGGUGGACAGACUGGAGUCUCUUGUGUUUUACCAAAGGGACAGCUUGGUCUUUAGACAGUAAAAAGACAAGGAAAUGGUCACCUCAGACUCCGACGCGGAGCUGGAGAAUGAAAUGAGACGAGAUGAGCCUCACGGGUCUUUCCAACUCUGCAAUUUUGAUUUUCACAAUUUUGCAAAGCACUUCAAGCUCCACGAAACAAGCAGCUCCAGCUGGAAGACAGUGAACGGAGAGUUGGGCCGCCUGGGUUUGGCUCUUGUUCCUUCUAUUUGUUGGGUAUGGUAUUGGACAAAUCGUUUAUCACAACUCUGUCCCAGAUUCUACAGAUGUAAAAUGAGUAUAACAAUAAUCCAGAUCCCUAGAGAGUUAUUCGGGAAAUUUAAUGUGUUAAUAUAACAUAUGACUGCACAGAACAAUUGCUGACAUGUCAUGAGGGCUGCAUAUGUCUGCCUGAGCAUUUUCAGAGAAUCAAUUCAAAUCUUUUGAAGAGCACCUACUUGCAUCUGUUUGCAGGGAAAGAACUGUGUGGUGGUGAACGUGACUUGAUUCCUUUGGUUUUCAGCACAACACACAGCACACACCAGCAUUUCCGUGUGCUCCUUUAUCAAACACUUACUGGCCACACUGCACUUCACACCCUGGACUAAGGGAGAAGAACCAAAUCUUCUAAGUGGGGCUUGCUAAAUUUGAGGAACUGGGGGCUCACAGAAGGUAAUCCCUCAGAUACAGGAAGACAAAAGAUGGUAAGCAUAAUAGAGAAAAAAGUUGCAUGGGGAAAGGAAGUGGAGAGUUUUCAAACAAGACCACUCUGAUGGGACCACAGCUAAUGCUCUGGAGUCUGCACACCUCCGUUUAAGGGCCAGAUCUUCUAAUUACCAAACCCAUAAAUAAAAAUAAAUUAAUAUACUCUUUC